rnacentral:rRNA from 1 species
AGAGUUUGAUUAUGGCUCAGAUUGAACGCUGGCGGAAUGCUUUACACAUGCAAGUCGAGCGGCAGCACGGGAGCUUGCUCCUGGUGGCGAGUGGCGAACGGGUGAGUAAUGCGUCGGAACGUACCGAGUAAUGGGGGAUAACGCAGCGAAAGCUGUGCUAAUACCGCAUACGCCCUGAGGGGGAAAGUGGGGGAUCGCAAGACCUCACGUUAUUCGAGCGGCCGACGUCUGAUUAGCUAGUUGGUGGGGUAAAGGCUCACCAAGGCGACGAUCAGUAGCGGGUCUGAGAGGAUGAUCCGUCACACUGGAACUGAGACACGGUCCAGACUCCUACGGGAGGCAGCAGUGGGGAAUUUUGGACAAUGGGGGCAACCCUGAUCCAGCCAUUCCGCGUGAGUGAAGAAGGCCUUCGGGUUGUAAAGCUCUUUCAGCAGGAACGAAACGGUGGCUCCUAAUACGAGUUACUAAUGACGGUACCUGAAGAAGAAGCACCGGCUAACUACGUGCCAGCAGCCGCGGUAAUACGUAGGGUGCGAGCGUUAAUCGGAAUUACUGGGCGUAAAGCGUGCGCAGGCGGUUAUAUAAGACAGAUGUGAAAUCCCCGGGCUUAACCUGGGAACUGCGUUUGUGACUGUAUAACUCGAGUGUGGCAAAGGGGGGGUGGAAUUCCACGUGUAGCAGUGAAAUGCGUAGAGAUGUGGAGGAACACCGAUGGCGAAGGCAGCCCCCUGGGUCAACACUGACGCUCAUGCACGAAAGCGUGGGGAGCAAACAGGAUUAGAUACCCUGGUAGUCCACGCCCUAAACGAUGCGAACUAGGUGUUGGGGAAGGAGACUUUCUUAGUACCGCAGCUAACGCGUGAAGUUCGCCGCCUGGGGAGUACGGUCGCAAGAUUAAAACUCAAAUGAAUUGACGG